rnacentral:rRNA from 1 species
AACGAACGCUGGCGGCGUGCCUAACACAUGCAAGUCGAGCGCGAAAAGGGCAACCUGAGUAGAGCGGCGCACGGGUGCGUAACACGUGGGUAAUCUGCCUUAGAGUCGAGGAUAACCUUCCGAAAGGUUGGCUAAUACUCGGUAAGCUUACGGUGUCUUCGGACGCUGUGGGAAAAGUAGGCCUCUGUUUACAAGCUUACGCUCUGAGAUGAGCCCGCGGCCCAUCAGCUAGUUGGCGGUGUAACGGACCACCAAGGCAACGACGGGUAGCUGGUCUGAGAGGACGAUCAGCCACACUGGAACUGAGACACGGUCCAGACUCCUACGGGAGGCAGCAGUGGGGAAUUUUCCACAAUGGGCGAAAGCCUGAUGGAGCAACGCCGCGUGUGUGAUGAAGGUUUUCGGAUCGUAAAGCACUUUCGACUGGGACGAAAAACCUUUGGCUAACAUCCAGGGGCCUGACGGUACCAGGAGAAGAAGCACCGGCUAACUAUGUGCCAGCCGCCGCCGUAACAC